AAUCAGGCAACUGCAGAGUCUUAGGGGGUUAUCUAAUGUAGUCUUGGGGUGGCUGGAUAGACUUCCCAAAGAAGGUGAUGCCGAAGCUGAGGUCGGAAAUUACGAAGAUCAGCUAUCAAACUUGGAAAUCAUGUCUUAGAGAUCAAGGAGCCAAGAGAUGAGACAAGCCUGGGUUCCUAGGUGAUAGGGUGUGGCUGUGUCCCCACCCAAAUCUCGUCUUGAAUUGUAGCUCCCAUAAUCCCCACAUGUUGUGGAGGGACCCUGUGGAAGGUAAUUGAAUUAUGGAGAUCUUUAAUAAAUGAAAUAAAUGUGACUGUAUGUCCUACAUCCCAUUCCUGUUGUCUUCCAUGUCUCCUCAGAGAUUGUGCCUGCAGCCUGGCCUGUUGCCCACAGCGGUCUACCUGCCACACUGGGAAAGAUCGAGCAGAGACAGAGAAGAAAAGGAGGCUCCAUUUUUCAGGCUGCUCUCCCGCAGGCUCAUGUUUUGUGUUCAUGCCAGGCAGAGAACACAAAAUGUUCCAAUAAAUAAGUAUCAAAGGUUAGUGGUGAAAAUGAAGGAGGAGGAGGCAUUGCGUGAAAAACUAAACAUGCAAAAUAUUACACACAAAGAGAACCAAAAUGCAGGUUCACUGGAAAUGAUAGACAAUAUGUUAAAACAAGAGGAGAGAAGAGAGCUGAAAUAAUCAAAUGGAAACACACAAUUUAGGGCUAAGAUCUUGUUGUGUUCAGCCACAAAUGAUGGCCAGCAGUGAGGAAUCUGUGUGUUCUCCACACUCUUCGCUCCUGGGAAGUCAACUCACAUGGACCAUGAUAUCAAUAUCUGCUCCUUCCCCUAAUAUCUGUUUGACCUUGGGUCAGUUACUUAAACUUCCUAAGCCUUAGUUUCUUUGUCUGGAAAAUAGGGAUAGUUAUACCUACCACACAACCACUUUGUAAUGAAUAUGUUGGAAAUUAUAUGCAAAUUGGCUUCCGUUGGUGUUUGGAACAUAGUAGGUUUUUAACUGGAAUAUAAUAGCUACCAUUAUCAGUAUCAUCAUAUUAAUUUAUAUUUCCAUCUUCAGCCCUUAACCCAGGAUCUUCAGUAAAUGUUGAAUUCUCAAAUUUGUUAAAUUCACUUGUCUAUACUAAUAUUUUACUCUAGGUUUCUUAGAAUAUUCUAGAUAAUAUUAUUAUGUAGAAUAUGUUAUGUAAGCUUCAUCUUAUCUGUAAAUAUAGUUUUACUUUUUCCUUUCUAAUUUUUAUGUCGAUUACUUCUUUUUCUUGGCUUAUUGAAUUGGCUAGGAUUCCCGUACAGUGUUGAAUACGUGCAGCAAGACUGCACAUCUUGCCUUGUUCCUGGUCCCACAGAGAGAAUAUCCAGUACUUCACAAUAAGUAUGUGUUAAUUGUAGAUUUUAUUAGAUUGAGGAAGUUCCCUUUCCUUUCAAGUCAGUCUUUUUAUUUUAAACAUGUAUUGAAGUUUUGUCAAAUGUCUUCAUCUAUUGGAAUAAUUAUACAUAUCUCUUUUUUAUUCUGUUAAUAUUACAUUUCAAUCUUCUGUCUACCUAAAAUCCCUAGAAUAAUCUCCAUUUGGCUAUGAUGUGUUGUGCUUUUAUAUAUUACUGAAUUCUAUAUGCCAAUAUUAUUAAAAUUUUCUGUCUUUAUGAGAAA
rnacentral:lncRNA from 1 species